AUGAGCGUGAGUGGGCCAGAUCUGGAG
rnacentral:piRNA from 1 species